UUUGAAGAAGAAUUCUGUGUGGUUUACUUACCUGUUUCUUUUUUCCCUUCUUUUAAAGCCUACAGCACCUGGUAAUCCUAGGCGGUCUCCCAUUCAAAUACUAACCAGUCCCGGCCCUGCUUAGCUUCUGAGAUGAGAAGAGAUUGGAGAGUCUCACUGUGUAGCCCAAGCUGUCUUCAAACACAAGUCAAGUAUCGUACUUUCCUCAAAUCCCGAAGUUCUGGAGUUCCAGAUGCACGCCACCACAUCCAGCUGUUUCAGACUUCAGAGCUGGACAGUGACAGCGAGGAUGGCUGACUUCACCUUGCCUCGUCUGAUUGUGGAACCUGCUUGUGCUUCAGCGUGUAGGCUCCACAAGUUGGAGCCUGGGGCUGAUUAGCUACAGUGACUUGCUCUUUCCUUUAUGGUCAUCAUGUUCCUGCCUGAGAUAAAGGAUGGUCUUCAACCAUGAAUGGCCCCUAAGACGGCUGGAGAGCAAGAGACACUCUGGGCCCUUCUUCUCCUUCCGACAGGGCCUCACUGUGUAUCUCCGGCUGGCCUGGAACUCACUAUAUCAGCAGGCUGGGUCUUUGGAUCUACGCCCACAGCUUCUGUAUGACAACCUUGCUUUCUGAGGGACUUCUCCAGAGACUCCGGGGAGCAGGAAUGGUGGGAAAGUCUCCAGAGGACCCUGCAACCGGAGAAGAGGUUUGCUCUGCCAGCCUGUGUGGAGGGUUGUAACAGUGAUAACAGCCCGCACAUUACUUAUGAGGACCUGGAACUCUGCAAGUACGGUGGUGCCAGGGCAGGUGCCUCCUGCAGGUGACCUGGCACCUUAUCUCCCCUACCCUCGGCUCCUUCCUGCCCUUCCUGGCUUACCUCCCACAGCAGAAAUAACCCAAGGCCAAACAUUAACAGUGAAAUCAUAAAAGCACGUGAAGCUCAGAUGGCUUCCAGUGGUCUGGACUCUCUGUGCCCUGUUAUCGGAAAAAUGUCCUCGCCUCCCCAUGGGUGGAGCGGCUGUGACGACAGGCCACCCAGCACUUCAGCCUCUAGACGGCCACCCGAAGAGCUGCCCGAGGAUGCCACUGUUAUCUGAUGUGGAGGGUUUGAAGAGUCCAGAGCAAUGCUUUUUGUGUUGAAAGAGAUACUUUCUGAUGUAUGUGAGCUUGCUGUGGGCUCUAAUGUGCAUCUAAUUUUUAGAGCUUCUAGAUACCUGCAUUGUGUUGAAAACCAUGCCUGCCUUCCAAGUACCCUGGUGUAUGUCCAUCGA